AGUGAACGCUGGCGGUAGGCCUAACACAUGCAAGUCGAACGGCAGCACAGUAAGAGCUUGCUCUUACGGGUGGCGAGUGGCGGACGGGUGAGGAAUACAUCGGAAUCUACUUUUUCGUGGGGGAUAACGUAGGGAAACUUACGCUAAUACCGCAUACGACCUACGGGUGAAAGCAGGGGAUCUUCGGACCUUGCGCGAGUGAAUGAGCCGAUGUCGGAUUAGCUAGUUGGCGGGGUAAAGGCCCACCAAGGCGACGAUCCGUAGCUGGUCUGAGAGGAUGAUCAGCCACACUGGAACUGAGCCACGGUCCAGACUCCUACGGGAGGCAGCAGUGGGGAAUAUUGGACAAUGGGCGCAAGCCUGAUCCAGCCAUACCGCGUGGGUGAAGAAGGCCUUCGGGUUGUAAAGCCCUUUUGUCGGGAAAGAAAAGCAGCAGGUUAAUACCCCGCUGUUCUGACGGUACCCAAAGAAUAAGCACCGGCUAACUUCGUG
rnacentral:rRNA from 1 species